GCCCUGGUUGCUCUGAUAGCAGUAGCCCUGGCAUGUUUUCUGCAUUUCAGGAAGACUGGCAGGGCAAGCGACCAGCGUGAUCUCACAGAGCACAAACCCUCAGUCUCCAACCACACCACAGGAGUCCCCUGAGACACAUCUGAGGAGAGAGGCUCACUCUGCCUAGGCCAGGCAGCCCUGAGGAAGAUCCCAUGUUUCCAGGAGCCAUUUCCUCAGCCUUACUCCUUCCGCCUCCUGCCUCUAUUACGGAUGUGGGCACUCUCCCUUGCUCAGGACCACUCCAAUGACCCACCUAACAAGAUGAAUGAAGUUACUUAUUCUACCCUGAACUUUGAAGCCCAGCAACCCACACAAUCAACUUCAGCCUCCCCAUCCCCAACAGCCACAGAAAUAAUUUAUUCAGAAGUAAAAAAGAAGUAAUGAAACCUG
rnacentral:sRNA from 1 species